GGCUCACGAUGAACGCUAGCUACAGGCUUAACACAUGCAAGUCGAGGGGCAGCAUGGUCUUAGCUUGCUAAGGCCGAUGGCGACCGGCGCACGGGUGAGUAACACGUAUCCAACCUGCCGUCUACUCUUGGACAGCCUUCUGAAAGGAAGAUUAAUACAAGAUGGCAUCAUGAGUCCGCAUGUUCACAUGAUUAAAGGUAUUCCGGUAGACGAUGGGGAUGCGUUCCAUUAGAUAGUAGGCGGGGUAACGGCCCACCUAGUCUUCGAUGGAUAGGGGUUCUGAGAGGAAGGUCCCCCACAUUGGAACUGAGACACGGUCCAAACUCCUACGGGAGGCAGCAGUGAGGAAUAUUGGUCAAUGGGCGAGAGCCUGAACCAGCCAAGUAGCGUGAAGGAUGACUGCCCUAUGGGUUGUAAACUUCUUUUAUAAAGGAAUAAAGUCGGGUAUGGAUACCCGUUUGCAUGUACUUUAUGAAUAAGGAUCGGCUAACUCCGUGCCAGCAGCCGCGGUAAUACGGAGGAUCCGAGCGUUAUCCGGAUUUAUUGGGUUUAAAGGGAGCGUAGAUGGAUGUUUAAGUCAGUUGUGAAAGUUUGCGGCUCAACCGUAAAAUUGCAGUUGAUACUGGAUAUCUUGAGUGCAGUUGAGGCAGGCGGAAUUCGUGGUGUAGCGGUGAAAUGCUUAGAUAUCACGAAGAACUCCGAUUGCGAAGGCAGCCUGCUAAGCUGCAACUGACAUUGAGGCUCGAAAGUGUGGGUAUCAAACAGGAUUAGAUACCCUGGUAGUCCACACGGUAAACGAUGAAUACUCGCUGUUUGCGAUAUACAGCAAGCGGCCAAGCGAAAGCGUUAAGUAUUCCACCUGGGGAGUACGCCGGCAACGGUGAAACUCAAAGGAAUUGACGGGGGCCCGCACAAGCGGAGGAACAUGUGGUUUAAUUCGAUGAUACGCGAGGAACCUUACCCGGGCUUAAAUUGCAGAUGAAUUACGGUGAAAGCCGUAAGCCGCAAGGCAUCUGUGAAGGUGCUGCAUGGUUGUCGUCAGCUCGUGCCGUGAGGUGUCGGCUUAAGUGCCAUAACGAGCGCAACCCUUGUUGUCAGUUACUAACAGGUUCCGCUGAGGACUCUGACAAGACUGCCAUCGUAAGAUGUGAGGAAGGUGGGGAUGACGUCAAAUCAGCACGGCCCUUACGUCCGGGGCUACACACGUGUUACAAUGGGGGGUACAGAGGGCCGCUACCACGCGAGUGGAUGCCAAUCCCCAAAACCUCUCUCAGUUCGGACUGGAGUCUGCAACCCGACUCCACGAAGCUGGAUUCGCUAGUAAUCGCGCAUCAGCCACGGCGCGGUGAAUACGUUCCCGGGCCUUGUACACACCGCC
rnacentral:rRNA from 1 species